AUACAAAUAACAAUGUGAACUCUACCACCGGUUCCAAAAAAAAUCCACAGUCCUGAGAAGAACCGGCGAAACAAACUCAGCGUACCUUCCUAUGUGAAACGUUUUUUCUUUUUUCGUUUUAUAUCUAGUGUCAAGUCGUAUUUCACAAAAACGCUGAGAAUUUUGCCUCUUGAUUAACCAAUUGAAAACAAAUGUAAAUCCUUCGACAAUUGACGAUAUAAUAUUUAACUACCAUGACCAUGAGAUAAGGAGACGUAUAGGGAUGGCCAAAAAUGCAAUGUCCCAGCUGCAUAAGAUAUGGAGAGACCGUAACAUCACGCGAAAAACUAAAACCAAAUUGGUGAGUUCGCUAGUUUUCUCCAUAUUCAGUUAUGGCGCGGAGACCUGGACAAUGAAGAAGGCCGACAGAGACCGAAUAGACGCUUUUGAAAUGUGGUGUUGGAGAAAAAUGCUACAGAUUCCAUGGACCGCCUUUCGCACCAACGUGUCUAUUCUGAGAGAGCUUCAUAUCAAAGCCAGACUCUCCACUAUAUGCCUUCGUAGGGUGCUGGAAUUCUUCGGACAUAUUGCUCGUAAAGAGGGUCACAAUCUUGAACAGCUGAUGGUGACAGGAAAGGUAGAUGGCAAACGUCCCAGAGGACGCAGUCCCACGAGAUGGUCGGACCAAAUACGAUCUUCUCUGAGCAUCAAUUUCCAUAAUGCCCUUCAUGAAGCAAAGGAUCGCGGCAGAUGGAGGGAAGUCGUAUGGGAGAAACUGAUGCAGCGGGGGAGUCUCGACCCUCAGUAAUGAGGAAAACGACGCGAGGAGGAGGACCAUGACCACAGUUUUUCAAUAUUUCUGUUUUUUUUUUUAUCGGCAAGUUGCACUACUAGCCACUACAACCCUUAAAAAUCCCAAAUGCCCGUAGUUUAUACACAAAAAUCAAUCAAAAUAUACUUUUCUCGAUAAUUUUGAAUGAUUUUUACUUUAAAUUUUCGUGGGGUACAAAAAAUACGGACGAUAUUAUUGCAACUUUUAAAUUGACGUAACUAUCCAAGAUAUCAAAUGGUAUGAACACUCUAAGUAAACUAGACAACAAAAUAGUACUAUUUCUAAACAAGAAGUAAUUUAAUAAAUUGUCCUUGAUAGUAAUGUUUACUGUGCCAAAAUGAAUUAGUUGUUCUUGAAAAACGAAUUAAAACAAAUGGCACAAACGAUUUUACAUUUAUUGCAUUAUUAGACUUACAGUAAAUGAUCAAAUUGUUUGCCACCAGCAUUAAUACAGGCACGACUGCGACAUCGCCUUAAAAAAUAUCGUUAUAUUGUAGUAGUAACUCACAGCAAAGCGUGGCCCGGAUUCACUACUAAUAAAAAAAAAAAAGGAUCUCCAUUAUUUUUGGAUAUUUUAUUCGGGAUAAAUUACAUAUGUUUAAAACACAAGGUCAAUGUUAAAGUAUAUCCGACAUAUUCUUCUUUCAGUCAGAACCACUAUGUCUUGACGAUGCACUCGACGCUGACCCACUACGUGAACCCUGGGAAAUUAAAGAAAUUAUUUAAUCAAUAACAAUAUAUUCAAUCUUCUUGCCGCUCUACAACUAACAUAUCAGCAACAUGUAUUAAAUGAAUGAAUGAAUGAAAUCAUAAAUUAGAACAUAGGGUUCUAUUGUCAAAGACUGAUAUAUUUCUUCAAUCACAGAUUUCGACAAAUAAUAUUAAAGACAUACAGUAUUAAUCUA